CAGUCGGCUCGAAAGUUAGUAAUAGCAAGAUUGGCUAUUAAGAGGGAAAUCUUUGCUCCGGCGCAGCAGAGGGGAAAGAAAUCGCCAAUUAUACAAUAGCCGCUUCUCGACGGCAAAAUCGAAGCCUAACAACGAAAACAAGCCAAUAGUAUAAGAAAAAAGUAUAUAGUAUAUAAUUUCAAGAGCCUAAUUAGUAGUGUCUAAUAGUGAACUGCGGUUUCAAAUCACACAAGUAUCUCACGGUCUUCCGUUUCUUUUUAAACCGGAACGUCAUCAACAUCAAACAACAGCAAAAACAACAAACAUCAACGAACAAGAUCCCAAAAAAAAAAAACUUCAGAGAACAAGAACAAGCAGACAGAGAGAGAGAGCUAGCGCGAGACAGAGGGCUAGAGGCGUCGGCUAACGGCUUAUCAUUUGACAAAAGCACGAGGAAGAAGAACAAGAAGAAGCAGACCAGAGGAGCGCUGAGUGCGCGAAAUACUCAAAAAAAAUAAUAACUGUACAUAAAUAAUAAAGGCUUGAGUGUUGCAAACUCAUAAA